UACGGAGGAUGCGAGCGUUAUCCGGAUUUAUUGGGUUUAAAGGGUGCGUAGGCGGACUUUUAAGUGAGAUGUGAAAUACUCGGGCUCAACUUGAGCGCUGCAUUUCAAACUGGAAGUCUAGAGUGCAGGAGAGGAGAAUGGAAUUCCUAGUGUAGCGGUGAAAUGCGUAGAGAUUAGGAAGAACACCAGUGGCGAAGGCGGUUCUCUGGACUGUAACUGACGCUGAGGCUCGAAAGCGUGGGGAGCAAACAGG
rnacentral:rRNA from 1 species